rnacentral:rRNA from 1 species
CAGUCGCCACGGGAAUACGUAGGUGGCAAGCGUUAUCCGGAAUUAUUGGGCGUAAAGCGCGCGUAGGCGGUUUUUUAAGUCUGAUGCGAAAGCCCACGGCUCAACCGUGGAGGGUCAUUGGAAACUGGAAAACUUGAGUGCAGAAGAGGAAAGUGGAAUUCCAUGUGUAGCGGUGAAAUGCGCAGAGAUAUGGAGGAACACCAGUGGCGAAGGCGACUUUCUGGUCUGUAACUGACGCUGAGGAGCGAAAGCGUGGGGAGCGAACAGGAUUAGAUACCCCGGUAGUCCCUGUCUCUUAUAA